rnacentral:rRNA from 1 species
GUCUGCGGCCAUACCACCUUGAGCAUGCCUAAUCUUGUCUGAUCUCAGAAGCUAAGCAGGGUCGCGCCUGGUUAGUACUUGGAUGGGAGAAUUCACUCUCUGUUUCAGCAGAGACCUGACUACAGGCU